GAUGAACGCUGGCGGCGUGCCUAAUACAUGCAAGUCGAGCGAACAGACGAGGAGCUUGCUCCUCUGACGUUAGCGGCGGACGGGUGAGUAACACGUGGAUAACCUACCUAUAAGACUGGGAUAACUUCGGGAAACCGGAGCUAAUACCGGAUAAUAUAUUGAACCGCAUGGUGCAAUAGUGAAAGACGGUUUUGCUGUCACUUAUAGAUGGAUCCGCGCCGCAUUAGCUAGUUGGUAAGGUAACGGCUUACCAAGGCAACGAUGCGUAGCCGACCUGAGAGGGUGAUCGGCCACACUGGAACUGAGACACGGUCCAGACUCCUACGGGAGGCAGCAGUAGGGAAUCCUCCGCAAUGGGCGAAAGCCUGACGGAGCAACGCCGCGUGAAUGAUGAAGGUCUUCGGAUCGUAAAACUCUGUUAUUAGGGAAGAACAAAUGUGUAAGUAACUAUGCACGUCUUGACGGUACCUAGUCAGAAAGCCACGGCUAACUACGUG
rnacentral:rRNA from 1 species